GUAUAAGCAAUUAUACAGCGAAACUGCGAAUGGCUCAUUAUAUAAGUUAUCGUUUAUUUGAUAGCACUUUACUACUUGGAUAACCGUGGUAAUUCUAGAGCUAAUACAUGCUAAAAAUCCCGACUUCGGAAGGGAUGUAUUUAUUAGAUUAAAAGCCAAUGCCCUCUGGGCUCUCUGGUGAAUCAUGAUAACUGCUCGAAUCGCAGGGCCUCGUGCCGGCGAUGGUUCAUUCAAAUUUCUUCCCUAUCAACUUUCGAUGUUUGGGUAUUGGCCAAACAUGGUUACAACGGGUAACGGAGGGUUAGGGCUCGACCCCGGAGAAGGAGCCUGAGAAACGGCUACUACAUCCAAGGAAGGCAGCAGGCGCGCAAAUUACCCAAUCCCGACACGGGGAGGUAGUGACAAUAAAUACUGAUACAGGGCUCUUUCGGGUCUUGUAAUUGGAAUGAGUACAAUUUAAAUCCCUUAACAAGGAACAAUUGGAGGGCAAGUCUGGUGCCAGCAGCCGCGGUAAUUCCAGCUCCAAUAGCGUAUAUUAAAGUUGUUGUGGUUAAAAAGCUCGUAGUUGACCCUUGGGCCUGGCUGGCCGGUCCGCCUCACCGCGUGUACUGGUCCGGCCGGGCCUUUCCCUCUGUGGAACCCCAUGCCCUUCACUGGGCGUGGCGGGGAAACAGGACUUUUACUUUGAAAAAAUUAGAGUGCUCCAGGCAGGCCUAUGCUCGAAUACAUUAGCAUGGAAUAAUAGAAUAGGACGUGCGGUUCUAUUUUGUUGGUUUCUAGGACCGCCGUAAUGAUUAAUAGGGACAGUCGGGGGCAUCAGUAUUCAAUUGUCAGAGGUGAAAUUCUUGGAUCUAUUGAAGACUAACUACUGCGAAAGCAUUUGCCAAGGAUGUUUUCAUUAAUCAAGAACGAAAGUUAGGGGAUCGAAGACGAUCAGAUACCGUCGUAGUCCUGACCGUAAACUAUGCCGACUAGGGAUCGGACGAUGUUAUUUUUUGACUCGUUCGGCACCUUACGAGAAAUCAAAGUGCUUGGGCUCCAGGGGGAGUAUGGUCGCAAGGCUGAAA
rnacentral:rRNA from 1 species